UUAGAUGGCUUUCUACAUUUUGACGAAGCACAUUUUGUGUACCCCAUAUUCCACAAUGCAUUACCUGGUUUA